UGCAGUCGAGCGAAUGGAUUAAGAGCUUGCUCUUAUGAAGUUAGCGGCGGACGGGUGAGUAACACGUGGGUAACCUGCCCAUAAGACUGGGAUAACUCCGGGAAACCGGGGCUAAUACCGGAUAACAUUUUGCGCUGCAUGGCGCGAAAUUGAAAGGCGGCUUCGGCUGUCACUUAUGGAUGGACCCGCGUCGCAUUAGCUAGUUGGUGAGGUAACGGCUCACCAAGGCAACGAUGCGUAGCCGACCUGAGAGGGUGAUCGGCCACACUGGGACUGAGACACGGCCCAGACUCCUACGGGAGGCAGCAGUAGGGAAUCUUCCGCAAUGGACGAAAGUCUGACGGAGCAACGCCGCGUGAGUGAUGAAGGCUUUCGGGUCGUAAAACUCUGUUGUUAGGGAAGAACAAGUGCUAGUUGAAUAAGCUGGCACCUUGACGGUACCUAACCAGAAAGCCACGGCUAACUACGUGCCAGCAGCCGCGGUAAUACGUAGGUGGCAAGCGUUAUCCGGAAUUAUUGGGCGUAAAGCGCGCGCAGGUGGUUUCUUAAGUCUGAUGUGAAAGCCCACGGCUCAACCGUGGAGGGUCAUUGGAAACUGGGAGACUUGAGUGCAGAAGAGGAAAGUGGAAUUCCAUGUGUAGCGGUGAAAUGCGUAGAGAUAUGGAGGAACACCAGUGGCGAAGGCGACUUUCUGGUCUGUAACUGACACUGAGGCGCGAAAG
rnacentral:rRNA from 1 species